rnacentral:rRNA from 1 species
UGAAAAGCCCCCGGCUUAACCGGGGAGGGUCAUUUGGAAACUGGGGAACUUUGAGUGCAGAAGAGGAGAGUGGAAUUCCACGUGUAGCGGUGAAAUGCGUAGAGAUGUGGAGGAACACCAGUGGCGAAGGCGACUCUCUGGUCUGUAACUGACGCUGAGGAGCGAAAGCGUGGGGAGCGAACAGGAUUAGAUACCCUGGUAGUCCACGCCGUAAACGAUGAGUGCUAAGUGUUAGGGGGUUUCCGCCCCUUAGUGCUGCAGCUAACGCAUUAAGCACUCCGCCUGGGGAGUACGGUCGCAAGACUGAAACUCAAAGGAAUUGACGGGGGCCCGCACAAGCGGUGGAGCAUGUGGUUUAAUUCGAAGCAACGCGAAGAACCUUACCAGGUCUUGACAUCCUCUGACAAUCCUAGAGAUAGGACGUCCCCUUCGGGGGCAGAGUGACAGGUGGUGCAUGGUUGUCGUCAGCUCGUGUCGUGAGAUGUUGGGUUAAGUCCCGCAACGAGCGCAACCCUUGAUCUUAGUUGCCAGCAUUCAGUUGGGCACUCUAAGGUGACUGCCGGUGACAAACCGGAGGAAGGUGGGGAUGACGUCAAAUCAUCAUGCCCCUUAUGACCUGGGCUACACACGUGCUACAAUGGACAGAACAAAGGGCAGCGAAACCGCGAGGUUAAGCCAAUCCCACAAAUCUGUUCUCAGUUCGGAUCGCAGUCUGCAACUCGACUGCGUGAAGCUGGAAUCGCUAGUAAUCGCGGAU